GAUGAACGCUGGCGGCGUGCCUAAUACAUGCAAGUCGAGCGAACGGACGAGAAGCUUGCUUCUCUGAUGUUAGCGGCGGACGGGUGAGUAACACGUGGAUAACCUACCUAUAAGACUGGGAUAACUUCGGGAAACCGGAGCUGAUACCGGAUAAUAUUUUGAACCGCAUGGUUCAAAAGUGAAAGACGGUCUUGCUGUCACUUAUAGAUGGAUCCGCGCUGCAUUAGCUAGUUGGUAAGGUACGGCUUACCAAGGCAACGAUGCAUAGCCGACCUGAGAGGGUGAUCGGCCACACUGGAACUGAGACACGGUCCAGACUCCUACGGGAGGCAGCAGUAGGGAAUCUUCCGCAAUGGGCGAAAGCCUGACGGAGCAACGCCGCGUGAGUGAUGAAGGUCUUCGGAUCGUAAAACUCUGUUAUUAGGGAAGAACAUAUGUGUAAGUAACUGUGCACAUCUUGACGGUACCUAAUCAGAAAGCCACGGCUAACUACGUG
rnacentral:rRNA from 1 species